UUUUUUUAAUUGCAGGUAGAGAAGAGUAAAUCUAGUGGUGCCGGGACAGAAGACAUUUACACACCAUCCUUGUGGUAUUAUCAAUAUUUUACGUUUUUACACGAAAAACAGAAUCCAGCGGUACAAGGAGUAGACAAUUAUGACGACUGUGACAGCGGCAGCGAGAGAAUUGAACCUGAAAAAAAAAACAAGAAACUCAAACAAACGACAAGCAAAUGAAAUCCUUCAAAAACAAGUCCAAGUGCUUGAUGCGGCAAAAACUUUACUAAAUGAUUCUGGUGAAGAAAGUUCAGCUGAUACUUUUGGACGUUCUGUUAGCUCUCAACUAAAAGAGAUCCCAAAUACAUCGCAGCGCUGUUUAGCAGAGAAAUUAAUAGGGGAAAUUUUAUUUUAUGCCAAAUUAAGUGAGCUAAAUAUAAAUACUGUAAUUAAUUUAGAUUUACGUCCAGGUCAGUCUCAAACAGGUUUUCACCACGUUCAUCAUCUCUGUACCCAUCUUCACAUUCGAUGAUUCAGCCAUACUCACAAUCACGUCGGGACGUAGUCCAAUAUACACAUUCAUUCUCACACUCGCUGUCACCUCUAAAACAAGAUCAGUCUCCAAACUCACAUUGGCAGUCACCUCGCCACCAAAUCCAAUCUCCACACUCAAACUCAAACUCGCCGUCACCUCUCUACCAAGUUCAAGCUCCACACUCACACUCACAGUCACCUCUUCACCAAGUUCAGUCUCCAAACUCACACUCGCAGUCACCUCUUCACCAAGUUCAGUCUCCAAACUCACACUCGCAGUCACCUAUUCACCAAGUUCAGUCUCCAAACUCACACUCGCAGUCACCUCUUCACCAAGCUCAAACUCCACACUCGCUCUCACACUCGCGGUCAUCUCAGAAUCAGUCCCUUGAUUUUAAUUUAGAUUUGACUAAUGCAUCAAUUGAUACUACUGAUAAUUAUGUGGUAAGAGGCGAAUGUAAAGAUCUCAAAGAUUUUUUGAUUUUUAAGAAACCGCUUUAGUAAUAACUAAUAUGUUUUUAAUAAAGAUAAAUAUUUUAUUAAA